rnacentral:ncRNA from 1 species
CAAAAGCUUUAUUUUAGCUUAAAAUGGUUAUUAUUUGAUUUUAUAAUAUAUAAAUAUAAGUAUUUUAAUAUAAAAGUUAUAAUUAUAAAAAUUAAAAUAAAUAGAAAUAUUGAUUUAGAAAUUUAUAAUAAUAAUAACAAAAAUUGUGCCAGCAGUUGCGGUUAGACAGUUAUUAUAAGUAAUUAGGAUUAAAUUUAUAAUAAUUAGUAAUUUUAUAAAAUUAGUUUGGUAUUAUUAGGUGAAAUUUUAAUAUUAUUUUUUUUUUAGAUUUAUGUAUUUGAUUUAUUAGAAUAUGUUAAAAACUAGGAUUAGAUACCCUAUUAUAUUAAGUUAAAAAGGAAAAUUGAUUAGUAUUAGUUAUAUUCUUGAAAAUUAAAAGAUUUGGCGGUAUUAAAGUUUUUUAGAGGAACCUGUUUUGUAAUUGAUAUUCCACGAUUGAUUGUACUUAUUUUAAUAAAUUUAUAUAUCGUCGUAGUUGAAUUUUUUAUAAGAAUAUUAAUAUUCAAAAAUUUAAAUUAAAAAGUAAAUCAGAUCAAGAUGUAGUUUAUAAAUAUAGAAAAAAUGGGUUACAUUUAUUGAAGAUAAUAGUUUAAAGUUUGAAAAAUUUUAAUAAAAUGGAUUUAAGAGUAAUUUUAUUUAUUUAAUUAAAAUGACUUUAUUAAUUUAAUAUGUACAUAUUGCCCGUCGCUUUCAUUUAAUAUGAAAUAAGUCGUAACAAAGUAGUUGUACUGGAAAGUGUAGCUAGAUUUAA